rnacentral:rRNA from 1 species
CGCGCGUAGGCGGUUUUUUAAGUCUGAUGUGAAAGCCCACGGCUCAACCGUGGAGGGUCAUUGGAAACUGGAAAACUUGAGUGCAGAAGAGGAAAGUGGAAUUCCAUGUGUAGCGGUGAAAUGCGCAGAGAUGUGGAGGAACACCAGUGGCGAAGGCGACUUUCUGGUCUGUAACUGACGCUGAUGUGCGAAAGCGUGGGGAUCAAACAGGAUUAGAUACCCUGGUAGUCCACGCCGUAAACGAUGAGUGCUAAGUGUUAGGGGG